rnacentral:rRNA from 1 species
UCCUACGGGACGCAGCAGUGAGGAAUAUUGGUCAAUGGGCGGGAGCCUGAACCAGCCAAGCCGCGUGAAGGAAGAAGGCGCCAAGCGUCGUAAACUUCUUUUGUCGGGGAACAAAGGGCGCCACGUGUGCCGUUGUGAGUGUACCCGAAGAAAAAGCAUCGGCUAACUCCGUGCCAGCAGCCGCGGUAAUACGGAGGAUGCGAGCGUUAUCCGGAUUUAUUGGGUUUAAAGGGUGCGUAGGCGGUCCGGAAAGUCAGCGGUAAAAGCCCGGGGCUCAACCCCGCCGAGCCGUUGAAACUGUCGGA